rnacentral:rRNA from 1 species
AACGAACGCUGGCGGCAUGCCUAACACAUGCAAGUCGAACGAUACCUUCUUGUCUAGUGGCUCCCGGGUGCGUAACGCGUGGGAACCUGCCCUUCGGUUCGGAAUCACUCCCCGAACGGGGUUCUAAUACCGGAUAAUGUCUUCGGACCAAAGAUUUAUCGCCUUUGGAUGGGCCCGCGUUGGAUUAGCUAGUUGGUAGGGUAAAAGCCUACCAAGGCGACUAUCCAUAGCUGGUCUGAGAGGAUGAUCAGCCACACUGGGACUGAGACACGGCCCAGACUCCUACGGGAGGCAGCAGUGGGGAAUAUUGGACAAUGGGCGAAAGCCUGAUCCAGCAAUGCCGCGUGAGUGAUGAAGGCCUUAGGGUUGUAAAGCUCUUUUACACGGGAUGAUAAUGACAGUACCGGGAGAAUAAGCUCCGGCUAACUACGUG